rnacentral:rRNA from 1 species
AACGAACGCUGGCGGCAUGCCUAACACAUGCCAGUCGAACGAGACCUUCGGGUCUAGUGGCGCACGGGUGCGUAACGCGUGGGAACCCGCCCUUAGGUUCGGAAUAACUCCCCGAAAGGGGUGCUAAUACCGGAUAAUGUCUUCGGACCAAAGAUUUAUCGCCUUUGGAUGGGCCCGCGUUGGAUUAGCUAGUUGGUAGGGUAAAAGCCUACCAAGGCGACGAUCCAUAGCUGGUCUGAGAGGAUGAUCGGCCACACUGGGACUGAGACACGGCCCAGACUCCUACGGGAGGCAGCAGUGGGGAAUAUUGGACAAUGGGCGAAAGCCUGAUCCAGCAAUGCCGCGUGAGUGAUGAAGGCCUUAGGGUUGUAAAGCUCUUUUACCCGGGAUGAUAAUGACAGUACCGGGAGAAUAAGCGCCGGCUAACUCCGUG